rnacentral:rRNA from 1 species
UACGGGGGGGGCAAGCGUUGUUCGGAAUUACUGGGCGUAAAGGGCUCGUAGGCGGCCAACUAAGUCGGACGUGAAAUCCCUCAGCUUAACUGGGGAACUGCGUCCGAUACUGGAUGGCUUGGAUUUGGGAGAGGGAUGCGGAAUUCCAGGUGUAGCGGUGAAAUGCGUAGAUAUCUGGAGGAACACCGGUGGCGAAGGCGACAUCCUGGACCGGUAUUGACGCUGAGGCGCGAAAGCCAGGGGAGCAAACGGG